UCCCUGCUGGCUCGCUCUCUCACUCUCUCUCUCUCAAAAUAAAUACGCGUUCUUAAAAAAUUAAAAAAAUAAAGACCUGGAGCUUUCAAGGGUUUUGUCUUGACAAAGUGCCACCUUCCUAACUCCAGAAUCACUCUUCAGCCCUCAGAGAUCACACACACGGAAUUCAAGCAGUAUCCACACACUCGGACAUCAGCAACACUUCUCUCCAGGGAUGCUGCUCUCAGACACCAUGCAUCCCCCCGCUGCCGCAUCAGCACAGUGUUUCUAACAAGUGGCUAACAAAGCAACCUCGCCUAAAGCGGGUGAAAGCUUAACUUCCUUUUCCUUAAGGCUGCAUUGGCCAAACCUUUCAUUUAUUCUUUCCUCUCCAUUCCAGAGCCUCUCGCGUUACAUUUUCACUUCACCUAAUUAUCUCCAGCAAAACCACUAAAAUUCUAACCGAUCCAACUGAUCCCCCUCAUUUCCAUAGAUAAUCCUCAAACUCAAAGUAUUCCAAAUAGGUCCAGAAAUAGCGCGUGGGCGUGGGAGGCAUGGGGGGAUGAGAAGAACUCCAAGAGACAAAGCCGAACUGCCAGGAGUCAGAGUCAAGGACAGGACCCGGCCACACACUCGCCACGCAUUCAUCUUACCCCUAGCGGCGGAAGGCCUUCCACGACGUUCUUCUUUCCGGAGAGGAGAUCUGACACCGGCCGCUGCUUCAGGGAGUCCCUCCUGGCUCGGUAGCGCCCCGACGUGGCUCCUCCCUGCACCCCACAGGACAUCCCUUUGGGAGCCCGUGUGUGCAGAAGACUAUGCUGAGCACUGAUGGGGGUAAAAGAUGGGAAUCCAGCUCAUUGUAAUCGCAGAUACUGUAAGCUAGCACCCCACAGAGGGCUGUCCGUGUAGUGGCCCCUAAACUGUGACUCUGAGACAGAUGGCAGUGCAGGGCCCAGGACCAAGGACAGGUGGGAAACACAGAUGUGACAACCGUCCCUGCUGAAAUCUGAAACGUGGAUGGGCUGCUGUGGGAGCCUGCCCAGGGAGGGAAGAAGGCCACAGGCAGAUGUUCCCAGGCAGCGAACAACGCUGAUGGCACAGGAGGAGGAGGAGGAGGGGAGGGAAAACCAGAGCACUUAAAAGAGACUGUUCAGGAGAGAAAUCUGGGACGUGCUGGUGAGGAGGACGCGUGGGGCGCUGGGGACCUGGGAGGGCAGCGGAAGGAAUAAACGGGUAACAACCACACAGACACUACUCUCAGAAGCAGCAGGCGGAAAAGGGAGGGGAACAGUAACUCCGACCACUGGUGGAAGAGAGAGGCGUGGCAAGGACAAAGUAUUAGGAUAUCUGCAGACCGAGGAAAAGGGCAGAGUGGUGAGGUAACUCUAACAAUGCAGAGAGAAGAGUCUUUACCCAGAGGUGGAGCACCUGGAGGUGCAGAACCAGACGAGCGCAGGGUGCAAGGAGAGGGCAGUGAGGAAGGCAGAAAAUACCGAGGUGCACACUCUGGGAAUCCACCCCUGAAGCGCUGUUCCCCUAUGGCCUACCAGCCUACCUCACUGGAAAUUGUCAUCUGUGCACGUAAGGCCCGCACACAACACACUCACAACCUACGUCUGGUCCCUUCACACAUCACUUCUACCAGUUUCCUACGCGAGAGUCCAACCAUACCCCUCCUCUCCCCAAUGCCCUUCCUCAUUCUGUGCCAUGGCAUCCACUGUCCCCCCCAAACCAGGGGUAGCAAUCCCAAUCAACUGCCCGCCUCUCUCUCCAGCUGUCUAAAUCCACCCGUCUUUCCAGAAAGCCCUUCUCAAUCUCCCCAACAGGAUGAGACUCUCUUCACAUAAUUGCUUGCCCUCUCCCCUCAAAACAAUCACGUUCUCUUUGUAUUUAUUUGUGUACUAGUCUUAUCCCCUACUAUUAAAGUUUCUUAAGAUGUGGAACUACUUCUCUGCACUCAAUCUCCUUGGCUUUUAGAGCCCUGUACACAGGGUAGAGAGUAAAUGUCUGUGAAUGAAUGCUUGACAUUCAGCUUUGGAGGCACUGCCUUAAAUACAGCUCGCUCUACUAAUCAAGUGAAAAAUAAAAAUAAAUAAAUAAAAAUAAAGUUGAAAUGUUUAAAGCUUUACAAUGGGAAGCUCUCGGGCAGGAAAAAAAAACAAAACGAGCUUGGGAUAUCUUGUGCCAGAAACAAGGAAGCACUCAAAGGCUAACGGGGGAGUAUCAGCAGGACACAGGAGCCGGCCGAAAGGAGCUCCCAUGGGCCGAACUCUGGAUCAUCUGGGUAUCAACAUCUGAUACUGCAUAUUGCGACACAUUUUAAGAAACUGAAUCUAAUGGCAGCUCCUUCUACGAAUCCAGGAUGGCUAUAACCGUGAAAACAAUUGCAAGAGACACCCUUGAAGAUGACCUCCUCCGAACUGGGUUCACUGUGACAGUCUGGGUUUGCCUGUAAAAAUAAGACGUGUCACUGAGACAUACGUACACACAGAUUUCCUAAUUUUGCCAAAGUAAAUCAAUAAGAAGGUAAAAUGAUAAAUCUGCUAAAGUAAAAAGAAGAUAAAACUAACCCAAUCAUAAAUUAGAGAAAAGGAAGGAGACUCUCUUGUCCUCACUUGGGGCCUCCCUACUCUGUGGCUACCCAGAAACCCCCCUCGCCCCCCCUCCAGGGUUUGAGCCUCCUGAUGCAGCAACAUCUGCCUGGACAAUGAGAGGAUCAGCAGGCUGAACAUCUAUCUAAACACAAGACCAAUAAGAAAUUACAAAGGAAAAAAAAAACGAGUGCUCAUCAGGAACUUAACAUCAGGUUGUUGCUAAAGAAGAAGUGUCUCUUUUCCAAAGAAUAUUCCAUCUGCCAGAAUUUAUGUAACUCAAUGACACAACCAAUGUGAAUUCUGUCAGGCUGCAAGAAUACCUGUUAACAACCACCAAAGCAUUAUCAGUCCUAAUGGAGGCCUCCUCGGGGAAACAAGGUUUAGGCAGAAGUGGGUCCUCUGAAGCUCGCAUUUAGUCCACUGUUCAAAUGGACUGAACUUUUAAGACUCUGGGGGCAGUUACUGUGCUGAUGGGUGCUGCUAAAAAUGAGACAGCUGAAGAACUCUUAGGGGAAAAAAAAAUCACUGGAAUGUGUGCACCGGAGAAGACAAACUAAGUAUAUGCUGCUGGCCCAGAGGAGGAAUCACUGAAGAAAUGAUGGUUCAAUAUUAUAAAUACUCUUAAACUUAUGAAAAGUUUGUGUUCUGACAGAGGGCGUAUCUACUGCUUGGAUCUCAGAACACUACUUCUCCAUGAAAAUAAUGUCACACGUGAUUAGGUAACCAGGCCAGUCCAGGAGAGCCCCAAAUGUGACCGCUGUGGACUAGUAGCACCGCUGAAUCUGGCCACCAGGGGAAGCACAUUCAUGCACAAAUACAUCCGGAGCCGCACGCCAGCAGCCGGCAGAGAAAGCAGGGCUCCCCCUCCCGGUCAGUCAGUGCUUUGCACAUCCCACCACCAGAGGAACAGUGGGACUCAGAGAAAAACACGCCUAUGUGGUGUCCAGGGAGGAAGGGAGGGGAGGAGGACUGGGGCUGAGGGGCUAAUCUUUAGCUGGCUCCCCUGCAGGGUCAUCCCUGGUCAUUUCCUUUUCCUUCCUGAGUCCCAAAGACGGGCCUGCCCUGUGCAUGGUUAUUCCUAACCAGUUUCUCUUCACACCUUGGCUCCCUAUAAAACAGAAAGCACUUCCACAGCCUUUCCUCUUCCUUCCUGGCCUUAAGGGACAAAUGUCCUUUCAAGAUCCCCCCCCCCCCCAAAUUAUAAUCAGUAGUAAAAGGAAAUCAACAAGGAACAAAAGGGCUCUUCUCCCCUCUCAUACCCAUC